UAUUAUGUGUGCCAAUCAUCGUUGUCAGUCGUCGACUGGAAGUGUAUCGCGUGUGGGAUGGAAUGGGCGGCCAAAGGUGUGUCAAGAUUUUGUGUUGGUGUUCUGUGGUGUGUCGUCGUAGCCUCAACGGGCUCGUCGCUUUGUCUGCGCGCUCAGCGCUGCGUGAUCGGCGUGCUUUCCACGUUUCUUGGUUACUCACGGUUAUUGCGUGGUUCAAUCGAGUGCAUCUACUCAGACAGUCCACCGCCCAGUGCCUUGUCUGACGACGACGGCGACUGUAAAGCACAAGCGUGCGCCUCAGCGGAUGCCUAGGCAAGGCAGCCCGGGUGGCGUGUUCACACAGCAGUGAUGAUGUACGAGAAAAGUUGUCUGAUAGGCAAGUAUGGAUUCUGCUACAGAAUGGCCCACGAACCCAACUUCCGAGCGGCACGCCUACCGGCCGAACAUCGGAGUGACCCGCCUGUGCGCAGCUUGAUCUGCCUACCACGCGUCGGCCUUGGUCAUCAUCUCACCGGCCUCGCCUUUCAUCUCUACCACCUGGAAAGCCGGCGUGGCCGACGGAGCAUAGACGACUGACUGUUCAAGGAACUGAAGCAGUGGACAGCUUGCUGUGAAAGAUGGGAACAUUCUUCCUCUGGUCUGGACAAGCCCAUAUUAAGUGAGAGAUGUUCAAUAUCAACCCGAUGCGAGGCAGCAAAUGUGGAAAUGGACGCAAGUCAAGGACAGCUGCAGACAGCAAGAUAAUGAAACUGAUACAGCGAUUGCACUGAAUCACUGAAGAUAUGAGCCGGAAUGCGAACAGUAUACUCGUACAGUUUGGCAGAAUAAACCCCAUCUUUAUGCGUUCA
rnacentral:lncRNA from 1 species